AUGGAUGAUACCCUCUACCCACUAAGCUUAGGGAUCAACUUAGCCUGCCGCAAGAACAUCCAAGGUAAGUACAGUAGUACAGUAAUAAACUUACACCAAUCCUCUGUUUUCAUGCUACAGAAUUCGUGUGCUCAUACUACUUGUAUCUACCAAAUCGCAUACUACAUGCUGAACAAGCUUCAGGUCGAGGAGGGCCUGAUCCCCAAGAUGUGCUUGGAUUUGUACAAAGAAUAUGGAAUUAAGAUGGCUGCUUCUGUGUGUGUGUGUGUGUGUGUGUGUGUGUGUGGAUAUGUGUUAACUGGUGGCCGGUGGUGUGUGUGUGUGUGUGUGCAGGGUACUGCCGGAGAUAAGUAG
rnacentral:rRNA from 1 species